rnacentral:rRNA from 1 species
CGGGUACGCCACCUAACCGACGAUGCGUAGGGGUUCUGAGAGGAAGGUCCCCCACACUGGUACUGAGACACGGACCAGACUCCUACGGGAGGCAGCAG